AAAGUAGAGAGGUUGAAAAUCUAGAGUAUACCCAAAAUUGGGAAAACUGAGGCACAAGAGUGAACAAUUUGCCCAAAGUCAUUAGCUAAUAAGUGGCUGAGCCAGUGCAAUGAAUUCACCCCCACCCCCGUCUCCUGCAAAUUCGUAUUUUUGAAAUCUUCACCCUCAAUGUCAUGGUGUUAGGAGAUGAGGCCUUUGGGAGGUAAACCCCUUGUGAAUGGGAUUAGUGCCUUAUAAAAGGAACCCGAGAGCUCUUGCUCUCUUUCUGCAUUGUGAGGUAAAGGGAAAAAACAGCCGUCUACAACCCUGAAGAGGGCCUUCACCAGAACCUGACCAUGUUGGCAGCCUGAUUUCAGACAUCCAGCCUCCAGAGCUAUGAGAAAUACAUUUCUGUUGUUUAUAAGCCACCAGUCUAUAUGGUACUUUACUACGGCAACCUGAACUCACUGAGAGCCAGGAUUUGAACUCAAAUGUUGAGAAAACUUUGCCCGGGACCACUCAGAAAUUCACUAUUUAUUCAAUAAAUACCUAACAAGUACCACUAUAUUCUAGACAUUGUGCUGUUGCUAGGGAGAGGAAAAGCUGGUAGUGAACAAGACAGACGUGGUCCUUACCUGCACAAUUACAUGGACACUAAACAAAUAAUGAGAAGUAGGAAUUGGAAAAGAAAGUGAUAAGUUACAGUUAGGUAGGAGGAAUGGGUGACAGAAAAGAAUUCCAGGGGAAGGGAAGGGCAUGCGUAAAUGCCCUGAAGUGAGAGCCUACAGUAGGAAAUAAAAAGAGGAGAGCCUGGAAAAAAUUAAAAUACUAUGGCAGGAGUGCAGGCAGCUAGGGGGACAGAUGGAGAGGCUGGAGAGAAAGACAAGUACAGAUAAUGGAGCUUAGACAAUGUGUGGUAAGCAAAGGGAGGCCACUGGAGGAAUUUAAGCAGGU
rnacentral:lncRNA from 1 species